AUUGAACGCUGGCGGCAGGCCUAACACAUGCAAGUCGAACGAGUGGCGGACGGGUGAGUAAUGUCUGGGAAACUGCCUGAUGGAGGGGGCUAACUACUGGAAACGGUAGCUAAUAACGCAUACCAUCGGAUGUGCCCCGAUGGGAUUAGCUAGUAGGUGGGGUAAUGGCUCACCUAGGCGACGAUACCUAGCUGGUCUGAGAGGAAAACCAGCAACCCUGGAACUGAGACACGGUCCAGACUCCUACGCGAGGCAGCAGUGGGGAAUAUUGCACAAUGGGCGCAAUCCUGAUCCAGCCAUGCCUCGUGUAUGAAGAAGGCCUUCGGGUUGUAAAGUACUUUCAGCGGGGAGGCGUUACCCGCAGAAGAAGCACCGGCUAAGUCCGUGCCAGCAGCCGCGGUAAUAC
rnacentral:rRNA from 1 species